rnacentral:rRNA from 1 species
GGCUGAAAUUACGCCUUCAUGAAGCUGGAAUUGCUAGUAAUGGCAGGUCAGCAUACUGCCGUGAAUACGUUCCCGGGCCUUGUACACACCGCCCGUCACACCAUGAGAGUUGGGAAUACCCGAAGCCUGUGAGCUAACUUAUAGAGGCAGCAGUCGAAGGUAGAAUCAAUGAUUGGGGUGAAGUCGUAACAAGGUACC